rnacentral:rRNA from 1 species
GAUGAACGCUGGCGGCGUGCCUAAUACAUGCAAGUCGAGCGAACGGACGAGAAGCUUGCUUUUCUGAUGUUAGCGGCGGACGGGUGAGUAACACGUGGAUAACCUACCUAUAAGACUGGGAUAACUUCGGGAAACCGGAGCUAAUACCGGAUAAUAUUUUGAACCGCAUGGUUCAAAAGUGAAAGACGGUCUUGCUGUCACUUAUAGAUGGAUCCGCGCUGCAUUAGCUAGUUGGUAAGGUAACGGCUUACCAAGGCAACGAUGCAUAGCCGACCUGAGAGGGUGAUCGGCCACACUGGAACUGAGACACGGUCCAGACUCGUACGGGAGGCAGCAGUAGGGAAUCUUCCGCAAUGGGCGAAAGCCUGACGGAGCAACGCCGCGUGAGCGAUGAAGGUCUUCGGAUCGUAAAACUCUGUUAUUAGGGAAGAACAUAUGUGUAAGUAACUGUGCACAUCUUGACGGUACCUAAUCAGAAAGCCACGGCUAACUACGUG